rnacentral:rRNA from 1 species
UAGGGAAUCUUCGGCAAUGGACGAAAGUCUGACCGAGCAACGCCGCGUGUGUGAUGAAGGGUUUCGGCUCGUAAAACACUCGUUGUAAGAGAAGAAUGACAUUGAGAGUAACUGUUCAAUGUGUGACGGUAUCUUACCAGAAAGGAACGGCUAAAUACGUGCCAG